GAUGAGCGCUGGCGGCGUGCCUAAUACAUGCAGGUCGAACGGGGAGUCGCAAUACUCUUAGUGGCGAACGGGUGAGUAACGCGUUGGUACCUGCCCCGAAGCGGGGGAUAACGGACCGAAAGGUCCGCUAAUACCCCAUGUGCUCGGUAACGAGUAAAGGUGAAAACCACUUUGGGAGGGGCCUGCGUCCCAUCAGCUAGUUGGUAAGGUAACGGCUUACCAAGGCGAUGACGGGUAGGGGACCUGAGAGGGUGGCCCCCCACAAUGGAACUGAAACACGGUCCAUACACCUACGGGUGGCAGCAGUAGGGAAUAUUGGUAAUGGGCGCAAGCCUGAACCAGCAACGCCGCGUGUGCGAUGACGGCCUUCGGGUUGUAAAGCACUUUUGACGGGGACGAGGAAGGACGGUACCGGUCGAAUCAGCCUCGGCUAACUACGUG
rnacentral:rRNA from 1 species